CUCAAAUUUGACCCUGUCCCGGGAGGUCACAAAACUGAACAUAUGACGUUUACCAGGGGAGAUUACUGCGGCCGUGUGGCUGUGACCAACAACAACAACAACAUCUUGUAAACAUGAGAUAAAACCCUGUCAUUUAGUGCCAUUUUAGAUCAGAUGGUGACUGCUUAAAAAGGAAUUGAACGUGUCCUGGAAAACAGUCUUGCACAGAGACUUGUGUCUGUUGACGUGUCCAAGCCAAGCCAGCUUUCAUCGUUAGACGGUCGCCAGUAGGGAUUCUUGUGGACCUACAAGUGAUGCAGUCAUGUUCCGGCGUAUUCGUUGGUCUUGUGCUACGUAUAGGAAAUGCGGAGCAGUCUUCAGAGACAUUUUUGUUCAAAUGCCUGUACCCUGCGUUCUGUGUCCGCUCGAAGCGUCCAUGUCUCGCAGCCGUGGAGAAGGAUUGAAGCUACGAUGGACUUGAAGUGCCUGUACGUGGUGGGGAAGCUGAUGGAAAUGCUUGUCCACAACCUGCUCAGUCUGGCAAUCGCUGCGGUCGCCAUGGAAAUUCGUAUGACUAAGUCAGUGAAAAUGAUUCAGUUAAAAAACUUCUUUUUCUUUCAAGUUCCCAAAAGCGUUUGUUGCACUUAAUUGCAUAUUACUCUAUUUACCCACAUUGUAAUUUGCAAAUUAAAUUAAACUGUUCACCUUAUUAUUUUGUUUUUCGUGACCAUAAUACUAGUAAAUGUGUUUUGUUUAUUAUUAAAUAUGGUUGAGUGUUUUAUUUUACCCCAUUGUUUUAUUUUUCGUUGUUUUCCGAAUUGUGUGUUAAGAUAGGUGAUUAUUUUGUAUAGAUGAUAUACCGACAUGUUAAAUUUAUACAUGUAAAGAAACUUGUGAAUAUUGAAUGCAUUCAAAACCACAAUGCGGUCCUAAUUUAUAACAUUUUUUGUAGUUACAUUUGUUUUGUUAAGGAACAUUGAACCCGAUUUUUGUAAACAUCGGAAUUACUGUUAGUCAAUGAAAAGUGAACAAUACAAGUCUACUGUA